CUGGCACCAGUAAUGGGAUUGUAUAGAUAAAUCCUGUAAAACAAGUAGGUAUCAGUUUUUUAACAGUGGCAACAUUUUACCAUAAACAAGAGCCAGACAGCUGUUUAAUUUAAUAUUUCAUUGCUACUUGUUAGUUUGAAAAUUAAUGGCGCCAUACAUCCCAUGACUGGAGCAAAAAACCAUCGUUUUAAUUUGUUGAUAAUAUUAAAACAAAUUGUAGUAGCUUUUAUUAAAUACA